rnacentral:rRNA from 13 species
CUCACGGGCCGAAUGAACUAGCCCUGAAAAUGGAUGGCGCUCAAGCGUGUUACCCAUACCCCGCCGCCGGGGCAAAAUUUACGCCCCGGCGAGUAGGCAGGCGUGGAGGCUCGUGACGAAGCCUUGGGGGUGACCCCGGGUAGAACGGCCUCUAGUGCAGAUCUUGGUGGUAGUAGCAAAUACUCAAAUGAGAACUUUGAGGACUGAAGUGGGGAAAGGUUCCAUGUGAACAGCAGUUGGACAUGGGUUAGUCGAUCCUAAGGCAUAGGGAAGUUCCGUUUUAAAGGUGCCCUCGUGCACCGUAUGCCGAAAGGGAAGCCGGUUAACAUUCCGGCACCUAGAUGUGGAUUCUCCACGGCAACGUAACUGAACGCGGAGACGUCGGCGGGGGUCCUGGGAAGAGUUCUCUUUUCUUCUUGACAGCCUAUCACCCUGAAAUCGGUUUGUCCGGAGCUAGGGUUCUAUGGCUGGCAGAGCCUCGCACCUUUGCGAGGUCCGGUGCGCCCCCGACGACCCUUGAAAAUCCGCGGGAAGGAAUAGUUUUCACGCUAGGUCGUACUCAUAACCGCAGCAGGUCUCCAAGGUGAACAGCCUCUAGUUGAUAGAACAAUGUAGAUAAGGGAAGUCGGCAAAAUGGAUCCGUAACUUCGGGAUAAGGAUUGGCUCUAAGGGUCGGGCUCGCUGGGCCUUGGGGGAAACCUCGUGGAGCAGGAAGGCACUAGCCGGGCAACCGGCCGGCGCCAUCCAGCA